GAAGGCUGAACUCCGUGCAAAAAACGCGAUGAAGUGUUGCUCGGAGU
ncrna:Vibrio alginolyticus 12G01 uup RNA